ACGAUAAAGCGUCUCAGUUUCAAAAGAAAGGGUGCGACCAUUAUAAGUUGUUGGAAAUCAUAUUCAACAAAAAUAAUGAAACUGAAGUACUUCACCAUUCAUCUGUCCAAGACCAACCAAAUACUGAUAUAGAACAUGAACUCAAUAAUCAAUACUUGAACAUUGAAAGUGUGAAUAAUGCACAUGUUGAUAAUGAUAGUUCAGACAAUGAUAAUGAUAGUUCAGACAAUGAUAUACAAGUGGUGCAGAUCAUUCGUAGUGGGAAGCAAAAAAUUCAAGUAAAAGAUCAUUCAUCCAUGAAAGAGUCUACAUCACAUGAGGUGGGAGAUGCACUUGUAGCACGGGCUAAGAUUGUGGAGGCUAGUUCUUCACAUUUAACAGUAGAUUGUUCUCUUACUAAGUGUGUGGUUGCUCUUGAAGAGAUAAGAGAUAUUUCAGAUGACAUCUUUGGGAAAGCCCUGGAAAAGUUUAAGGAUCCUGAUUGGAGGGAAAUGUUUAUCGCCAUGUCUAAUGAUAGGAGACGCGGAUGGUUACUUAGACUUUAAUUAUAAAACUGUUACUUUGUAUAUGUGGUUAUAGUGAUGAGACACAUG
rnacentral:lncRNA from 1 species